rnacentral:rRNA from 1 species
GAUGAACGCUGGCGGCGUGCCUAAUACAUGCAAGUCGAGCGAACGGACGAGGAGCUUGCUUCUCUGAUGUUAGCGGCGGACGGGUGAGUAACACGUGGAUAACCUACCUAUAAGACUGGGAUAACUUCGGGAAACCGGAGCUAAUACCGGAUAAUAUUUUGAACCGCAUGGUUCAAAAGUGAAAGACGGUCUUGCUGUCACUUAUAGAUGGAUCCGCGCUGCAUUAGCUAGUUGGUAAGGUAACGGCUUACCAAGGCAACGAUGCAUAGCCGACCUGAGAGGGUGAUCGGCCACACUGGAACUGAGACACGGUCCAGACUCCUACGGGAGGCAGCAGUAGGGAAUCUUCCGCAAUGGGCGAAAGCCUGACGGAGCAACGCCGCGUGAGUGAUGAAGGUCUUCGGAUCGUAAAACUCUGUUAUUAGGGAAGAACAUAUGUGUAAGUAACUGUGCACAUCUUGACGGUACCUAAUCAGAAAGCCACGGCUAACUACGUGCCAGCAGCCGCGGUAAUACGUAGGUGGCAAGCGUUAUCCGGAAUUAUUGGGCGUAAAGCGCGCGUAGGCGGUUUUUUAAGUCUGAUGUGAAAGCCCACGGCUCAACCGUGGAGGGUCAUUGGAAACUGGAAAACUUGAGUGCAGAAGAGGAAAGUGGAAUUCCAUGUGUAGCGGUGAAAUGCGCAGAGAUAUGGAGGAACACCAGUGGCGAAGGCGACUUUCUGGUCUGUAACUGACGCUGAUGUGCGAAAGCGUGGGGAUCAAACAGGAUUAGAUACCCUGGUAGUCCACGCCGUAAACGAUGAGUGCUAAGUGUUAGGGGGUUUCCGCCCCUUAGUGCUGCAGCUAACGCAUUAAGCACUCCGCCUGGGGAGUACGACCGCAAGGUUGAAACUCAAAGGAAUUGACGGGGACCCGCACAAGCGGUGGAGCAUGUGGUUUAAUUCGAAGCAACGCGAAGAACCUUACCAAAUCUUGACAUCCUUUGACAACUCUAGAGAUAGAGCCUUCCCCUUCGGGGGACAAAGUGACAGGUGGUGCAUGGUUGUCGUCAGCUCGUGUCGUGAGAUGUUGGGUUAAGUCCCGCAACGAGCGCAACCCUUAAGCUUAGUUGCCAUCAUUAAGUUGGGCACUCUAAGUUGACUGCCGGUGACAAACCGGAGGAAGGUGGGGAUGACGUCAAAUCAUCAUGCCCCUUAUGAUUUGGGCUACACACGUGCUACAAUGGACAAUACAAAGGGCAGCGAAACCGCGAGGUCAAGCAAAUCCCAUAAAGUUGUUCUCAGUUCGGAUUGUAGUCUGCAACUCGACUACAUGAAGCUGGAAUCGCUAGUAAUCGUAGAUCAGCAUGCUACGGUGAAUACGUUCCCGGGUCU